rnacentral:lncRNA from 1 species
GUUAUCUGUUGCUGUAUUUUGGUAUUGGUCGUGCCACGCUCUAUUCCUGCUCAUGUGUGUCUUGUUUUUCUACUUCAGCAUAAAUACAGUUGGCUUGGCUCAAAGGGAGGAAUAAUUUUCAGGCUUUUUGGUUUUUUUUUUCUUAAAAAAAUUUGAGCUCUCCUGGUCCGUCAAGGGGUAUUUUCUAAAAAUCAUAUCAAAAAUACUUUCUCAUGUUAUGCCUAGACUUAUUUGUUAGGUAAAUUUGGGUGGCAGGGUGCUUCUUCAAAAAUAAAUUUGCAUACAGGGCCUUGUUUAGUUCCGAAAAGUGAAAAGUUUUCGGUACUGUAGCACUUUCGUUUGUUUGUGACAAAUAUUAUCCAAUCAUGGACUAACUAGGAUCAAAAGAUUUGUCUCCUGAUUUCCAGCAAAACUGUGUAAUUAGUUUUUGUUUUCGUCUAUAUUUAAUGUUUCAUGCAUGUGCCACAAGAUUCGAUGUGACGGAGAAUCUUGAAAACUUUUUGGUUUUCAGGGUGAACUAAACAAGGCCCAGAUACUGUCAGCAAUGCUUUCAUUCAGAGUAUCCUAUGUGUCCAUGUUACAAGCAGUUGCGUCCAAUUAUGGUCUUCCAUAUUUAUCUACUGUACAUGAAAUUACCCAAGAUGGCUCACAUUUGUAUGGCAUUGAGCUGGAGCUGCCUGCAUCGAUAGCCACUUUUGGUUCACCCCGCUGUUUUUACUGGGCGCCAUCGGGUACACAGUUGGCUAUAGCUUCUGAGGCCGCAGCUUUGCAGGCACUUAUGGCCUUGCAAACUUUAUUCGGUUUUGUUAUCGUAGAUUAUAGCCUCCAUAGUCUG